rnacentral:misc_RNA from 1 species
GAUGAAGAACGUAGCGAAAUGUGAUAAGUAAUGCGAAUUGCAGAAUUCAGUGAGUCAUCGAAUCUUUGAACGCACAUUGCGCCCCUUGGUAUUCCGAGGGGCAUGCCUGUUCGAGCGUCAUUACACCACUCAAGCUAUGCUUGGUAUUGGGCGUCGUCCUUAGUUGGGCGCGCCUUAAAGACCUCGGCGAGGCCACUCCGGCUUUAGGCGUAGUAGAAUUUAUUCGAACGUCUGUCAAAGGAGAGGAACUCUGCCGACUGAAACCUUUAUUUUUCUAGGUUGACCUCGGAUCAGGUAGGGAUACCCGCUGAACUUAAGCAUAUCAAUAAGCGGAGGA